GCAUAUCAAUAAGCGGAGGAAAAGAAAAUAACAAUGAUUCCCCUAGUAACUGCGAGUGAAGAGGGACAAGCUCAAAUUUUAAAUCUGUCGGGUUCUACCUGACCGAGUUGUAAUUUGAAGAGGCGUUUUCUGUGUUUCUGAUCAGUCCAAGUCCUUUGGGAUAAGGCAUCACGGAGGGUGAGAAUCCCGUUCGGUUGAUCAGAUUCGCUUUACGAUACGCUUUCAAAGAGUCAAGUUGUUUGGGAUUGCAGCUUAAAAUGGGAGGUAAAUUUCUCCUAAGGCUAAAUAACGGCGAGAGACCGAUAGCGAACAAGUACCGUGAGGGAAAGAUGAAAAGAACUUUGAAAAGAGAGUUAAAUAGUACGUGAAAUUGUUGAAAGGGAAACGAUUGAAGCCAGUCGUACCUGCGGGUAAUCAGCCUUUCGGGUAUGAUUCUGUGGAGCGUGAGGAGUUAAACGCCUUCAUGCCUGCAUAUUCGUGCUCUUGGGUGUACUUGCUCGUGUGGUUGGUUAACAUCAAUUUCGGAUAUCAUAAAAUGGCUGGAGGAAUGUAGCUUCGAUUUCGAUUGAAGUGUUAUAGCCUUCGGCAGAUGUGAUGAUCGGGAUUGAGGAUUGCAACGGAUACCCUUCGGGGCUACCUGUCUGAUCUCUGAUCGUUGCUUUGGUGCCGAAAGCGUGCUUACGGCUAUCAAAGUCGAUGGUUAAUAGGUUAGAACGGGUUAAAUUCGUUAAGGAUGUUGACGUA
rnacentral:rRNA from 1 species